rnacentral:rRNA from 1 species
UACGAAGGGGGCUAGCGUUGCUCGGAAUUACUGGGCGUAAAGCGCACGUAGGCGGGUUGUUAAGUCAGGGGUGAAAUCCUGGAGCUCAACUCCAGAACUGCCUUUGAUACUGGCAACCUAGAGACUGGAAGAGGUUAGUGGAAUUCCCAGUGUAGAGGUGAAAUUCGUAGAUAUUGGGAAGAACACCAGUGGCGAAGGCGGCUAACUGGUCCAGCACUGACGCUGAGGUGCGAAAGCGUGGGGAGCAAACAGG